UGACCUCUACUACUAAAUUAUAGUGAUAAGGAAAACAGCAUACAAAUGUGGCUUGUGUAUUCAUUUGCCUAUUACUAAUCAGAAUUCCAUUAUGUUUACAUAAAAAAGAGAAUACUUCAAAAUGAGAAGAUACUGCCAUGGAAAAGAUGACUGGAUGGACAUAAAGUGGAAUGGAGGGGAAAUAACUCACACCAUGCAGCAGGACACCUUCAGCUGCAGGGUCUUUGUAAUGCAGAUGGCCAAGGAAGUUGCACAGAACUUCCCCAACAUCCCCUCCCAAAUUGAUAUGGAACCUUCAAAAACACAUGGAGCAACUGC